CCCCAGAUGUCUUGGCCUUAUUACUCUCCUGGUUACCCUUAUUAUGGCAAACCAAAACCUGCGGAGAAACCAACUGCUAUCCUUACCAACACCUCAGCAGUUGCCCAAGCACCAACAGAGAAGCCUCACCCUCCAAAGUACCCCCAAAUGUCUUGGCCAUAUUACUACCCCCAUGACCCUGUCAGGCCAAAGCCCACAGAGAAACCAGCUUCAGCCACCCCCACUGCUCACCCAUCAGGCUCGCCAGCAACAACCCAGACGCUGCAGCCCCCAGCAUACCCUGGAAGUCUAUUCCCUCAGUAUAGCUAUUACCCUGAUUAUCCUUCCUAUUUGCAAGCGUUUUAUCCACAAUACCCAGUUCAGCCUCCCAAAACUCCUACUGCACCGCCUAUAACCACCACUCCUCAACCCUGUACUACAACUGCAGCUGCUGAAUGCAAACCCUUUGCCAACCAGCCUCCCAAUGUGCCACCCCAGCAGUAUAUACCUCCCAGUUCUGUACUUUAUGAAAAAAACCCUUUCGUGUUUCAAUUUGUGGACUUUUUGGAUCCCAACUCUUUCCCAUGAAGUUUUGUUAUGAGGACUGAGGCCAGAUGCUUAGAAUUACGCUGGUAAUGUGCUGCAUGUGUCUUUGAAAAAGAUUGCCUCCUGAUUUAAUGCUAAUACUGCAGAGUGAUUCCUGCUCAUGAACAUGCUGGUUUGUGCUUAGUUUUGUCCUAAUUGUCUCAAAAAAUUCAAUAAAUCAGAUAUGAUCAAAUGCCCGGGUCUUUUUUUUUUUUUGUUUUUUUUUUUUUCUUCUCUUCUUCUCAGUGCCUGCUGGUAGAGAACACGCCACAGUGGGGAAAUGGUUUGUG
rnacentral:lncRNA from 1 species